rnacentral:rRNA from 1 species
CGGCGGAUGGGUGAGUAACACGUGGGCAACCUGCCUGUAAGACUGGGAUAACUCGCGGAAACGCGAGCUAAUACCGGAUAACAUUUCGGGUCGCAUGAUCCGGAAUUGAAAGAUGGCUUCGGCUAUCACUUACAGAUGGGCCCGCGGCGCAUUAGCUGGUUGGUGGGGUAAAGGCUCACCAAGGCAACGAUGCGUAGCCGACCUGAGAGGGUGAUCGGCCACACUGGGACUGAGACACGGCCCAGACUCCUACGGGAGGCAGCAGUAGGGAAUCUUCCGCAAUGGACGAAAGUCUGACGGAGCAACGCCGCGUGAGUGAUGGAGGUCUUCGGAUCGUAAAACUCUGUUGUCAGGGAAGAACAAGUGCCGUUUGAAUAAGGCGGCACCUUGACGGUACCUGACCAGAAAGCCACGGCUAACUACGUGCCAGCAGCCGCGGUAAUACGUAGGUGGCAAGCGUUGUCCGGAAUUAUUGGGCGUAAA